rnacentral:tRNA from 1 species
GCCCUUAUAGCUCAGUCGUAGAGCGCUCCACUCGUAAUGGAGAGGUCCGCAGUUCAAUCCUGCGUGGGGGCA